AGACUGGGAUAACUUCGGGAAACCGGAGCUAAUACCGGAUAAUAUUUUGAACCGCAUGGUUCAAAAGUGAAAGACGGUCUUGCUGUCACUUAUAGAUGGAUCCGCGCUGCAUUAGCUAGUUGGUAAGGUAACGGCUUACCAAGGCAACGAUGCAUAGCCGACCUGAGAGGGUGAUCGGCCACACUGGAACUGAGACACGGUCCAGACUCCUACGGGAGGCAGCAGUAGGGAAUCUUCCGCAAUGGGCGAAAGCCUGACGGAGCAACGCCGCGUGAGUGAUGAAGGUCUUCGGAUCGUAAAACUCUGUUAUUAGGGAAGAACAUAUGUGUAAGUAACUGUGCACAUCUUGACGGUACCUAAUCAGAAAGCCACGGCUAACUACGUGCCAGCAGCCGCGGUAAUACGUAGGUGGCAAGCGUUAUCCGGAAUUAUUGGGCGUAAAGCGCGCGUAGGCGGUUUUUUAAGUCUGAUGUGAAAGCCCACGGCUCAACCGUGGAGGGUCAUUGGAAACUGGAAAACUUGAGUGCAGAAGAGGAAAGUGGAAUUCCAUGUGUAGCGGUGAAAUGCGCAGAGAUAUGGAGGAACACCAGUGGCGAAGGCGACUUUCUGGUCUGUAACUGACGCUGAUGUGCGAAAGCGUGGGGAUCAAACAGGAUUAGAUACCCUGGUAGUCCACGCCGUAAACGAUGAGUGCUAAGUGUUAGGGGGUUUCCGCCCCUUAGUGCUGCAGCUAACGCAUUAAGCACUCCGCCUGGGGAGUACGACCGCAAGGUUGAAACUCAAAGGAAUUGACGGGGACCCGCACAAGCGGUGGAGCAUGUGGUUUAAUUCGAAGCAACGCGAAGAACCUUACCAAAUCUUGACAUCCUUUGACAACUCUAGAGAUAGAGCCUUCCCCUUCGGGGGACAAAGUGACAGGUGGUGCAUGGUUGUCGUCAGCUCGUGUCGUGAGAUGUUGGGUUAAGUCCCGCAACGAGCGCAACCCUUAAGCUUAGUUGCCAUCAUUAAGUUGGGCACUCUAAGUUGACUGCCGGUGACAAACCGGAGGAAGGUGGGGAUGACGUCAAAUCAUCAUGCCCCUUAUGAUUUGGGCUACACACGUGCUACAAUGGACAAUACAAAGGGCAGCGAAACCGCGAGGUCAAGCAAAUCCCAUAAAGUUGUUCUCAGUUCGGAUUGUAGUCUGCAACUCGACUACAUGAAGCUGGAAUCGCUAGUAAUCGUAGAUCAGCAUGCUACGGUGAAUACGUUCCCGGGU
rnacentral:rRNA from 1 species